rnacentral:lncRNA from 1 species
AGAAGUGCAACUUUGUAACUUCACUUUAGCCUCUGAUUGCGGGCCACCACUUCAUUUACAUGGGUGCGUUUUGUUCAAUUCUUUGUUCAAAACCCCAAGAAUGUGGACACUUGCAGUCAAGACCCUCUACCGGUUUGGUGAGCCAGAGACCAUCAAGCUUCAGAUGAUCAUGUGACAGGGUUUCCAGCCAGUUCCAGGUGAAGACACCACCCCUGGCCAUCAAGAAGUCACCCUGUCUCCACUAGACAGAGUAGGGUGAGAGUUCUGUGAUCUCCAACCGGUAGUGAUUACGCCCCAAGUCAGCAUAAAGAAGUUACGGAAGUAAAACCAUCAGUCCCUCUGUCUCUCAUAAAGAUUUAUGGGGAUCACGUUUCUCAGAGGGGAGAUGAAUAGGGUCUGGAGGCAGGGAACCGAAGGCAGUUUCACACUAACUUCUUAGAACUAAAUUGAAAGGAAAACCCUAAUUUUCCAUGCCUAAGUAACAAAAGGACCAGAGGCUACUCCCUUUGCAAACCCCCACCUUUUCUGUGUGGCAUAUGGGAAAUUGAAAGUACCUCUGAUUGAUUGUUUUCUGCAACCAAUCAGAUGUUUGCAUUGGAGUGUAACUUUGUAAUUUCACUUCAGUCUCUGACUGGUUGCUGCAGUCUGGAAAUUCUGCAGGCCAAGUCUUCGUUUGCAUAGAAGUGCAACUUUGUAACUUCAUCUUAGCCUCUGAUUGGUUGCUUUCUGCAACCAAUCAGAUGUUUGCAUAGGCGUGUGACCUUUGUAACUUCACUUCAGCUUCUGAUUGGUUUCUUUCCACAACCAAUCAGACUGAUUGUGGGCCACCACUUCCUUUACAUGAGGUGAACACCAAGUGGCCAAUGGAAAACCUCAAGGGGGUAUUCGGAUCUGAGAAGAUUCUGUAUCUGGGGCCCUUGAGCUGCUGCUCUGCCCACUCGCACACUGUGGAGUGUAAUUUCACUUUGAAUAAAUCUCUGCUUUUGUUGCUU